UUAGGAAUAUACACUCCACUCCAGCAGGUGGCCUAAAUAAGCUGCUUUGCCAACCGACAAAAAGCAAAGAAGAAGAAGAAGGUCGUCAAUGACAUAAACGCUAGUUUUUGUUUUGAAACAGAAGAAAGCUCUACACGGGAGCUUGAUACUGUACACAUUUUACCCGAACAUGUCGAAUCCGCCGCCAUUGUUAGAGCACACUCUAGAGGCCUUUUUUAACUGCUGGAGGUGUCGAGUCGUGGCCUGCGGGGGACUCAUCGCUUCAGGACUGUUUGUGUUCGGGGCGGCGCGCAGAAGAAAUCUGGGCAGACCCUUCAAUUUAUUCACAGCGGUUCAAAUGGCGUCUGCCACAGGUUUGAUCACCUCAGGCCUCUUAGUGAUCGAUGAAAGAGUGGGAAUGAAGGAUACAGGCAAAUGACUCUGGACUUGAUCUUCUACAUUGUCAUGGACUCUUUUAUUAAAUCAGCAAAGCCACAUUGGGUUGAUGCUGUGAAUUUAAAUCGUAUUCAAAUGACAAGUGUCUUUGAUUAAAUGUUUUUUAUUUGC